rnacentral:rRNA from 1 species
GACGAACGCUGGCGGCGUGCUUAACACAUGCAAGUCGAACGGAAAGGCCCUGCUUUUGUGGGGUGCUCGAGUGGCGAACGGGUGAGUAACACGUGAGUAACCUGCCCUUGACUUUGGGAUAACUUCAGGAAACUGGGGCUAAUACCGGAUAGGAGCUCCUGCUGCAUGGUGGGGGUUGGUAAGUUUCGGCGGUUGGGGAUGGACUCGCGGCUUAUCAGCUUGUUGGUGGGGUAGUGGUUUACCAAGGCUUUGACGGGUAGCCGGCCUGAGAGGGUGACCGGGCACAUUGGGACUGCGAUACGGCGCAGAAUCGUACGGGAGGCAGCAGUGGGGAAUAUUGCACAAUGGGCGGAAGUCUGAUGCAGCAACGCCGCGUGCGGGAUGACGGCUUUCGGGUUGUAAACCGCUUUGGACUGUGAUGAAGCGUGAGUGACGGUAAUGGGUAAAGAAGCACCGGCUAACUACGUG